UUGCCCCUACGGGAGGCAGCAGUGAGGAAUAUUGGUCAAUGGGCGGAAGCCUGAACCAGCCAAGUCGCGUGAGGGAAUAAGGCCCUACGGGUCGUAAACCUCUUUUGCCGGGGAGCAAGGGCGGGGACGUGUCCCGGCCCGGAGAGCACCCGGAGAAAAAGCAUCGGCUAACUCCGUGCCAGCAGCCGCGGUAAUACGGAGGAUGCGAGCGUUAUCCGGAUUUAUUGGGUUUAAAGGGUGCGUAGGCGGGCUUUUAAGUCAGCGGGAAAAAUUCGGGGCCCAACCCCGUCCGG
rnacentral:rRNA from 1 species